ACCUGAUUGGCUCAGUCGAUAGAGCAUAUGACUCUUGACCUUGGGGUUGUGAGUUCAAGCCCCACAUUGGGAG
rfam:Canis lupus familiaris chromosome 34, whole genome shotgun sequence.